rnacentral:rRNA from 1 species
AGUGAACGCUGGCGGUAGGCCUAACACAUGCAAGUCGAACGGCAGCACAGUAAGAGCUUGCUCUUACGGGUGGCGAGUGGCGGACGGGUGAGGAAUACAUCGGCAUCUACUUUUUCGUGGGGGAUAACGUAGGGACACUUACGCUAAUACCGCAUACGACCUACGGGUGAAAGCAGGGGAUCUUCGGACCUUGCGCGAUUGAAUGAGCCGAUGUCGGAUUAGCUAGUUGGCGGGGUAAAGGCCCACCAAGGCGACGAUCCGUAGCUGGUCUGAGAGGAUGAUCAGCCACACUGGAACUGAGACACGGUCCAGACUCCUACGGGAGGCAGCAGUGGGGAAUAUUGGACAAUGGGCGCAAGCCUGAUCCAGCCAUACCGCGUGGGUGAAGAAGGCCUUCGGGUUGUAAAGCCCUUUUGUUGGGAAAGAAAAGCAGCAGGUUAAUACCCCGCUGUUCUGACGGUACCCAAAGAAUAAGCACCGGCUAACUUCGUG